AUGCCUUUGGAAGAAGCAAUCUUUCUUUUAAGAUUCGUCAGCUUCCUACCCGCUUGACCGUUUCCUGCGCUGCUAAACCUGAGACAGUGGACAGGGUGUGCGCAAUUGUCAA